rnacentral:rRNA from 1 species
UACGUAGGGCGCAAGCGUUGUCCGGAAUUACUGGGCGUAAAGCGCACGUAGGCGGAUUUGUAAGUCAGGGGUGAAAUCCCGGGGCUCAACCUCGGAACUGCCUUUGAUACUGCAAAUCUCGAGUCCGAUAGAGGUGGGUGGAAUUCCUAGUGUAGGGGUGAAAUUCGUAGAUAUUAGGAAGAACACCGGUGGCGAAGGCGGCCCACUGGAUCGGUACUGACGCUGAGGUGCGAAAGCGUGGGGAGCAAACAGG